AGAGUUUGAUCCUGGCUCAGGAUGAACGCUGGCGGCGUGCUUAACACAUGCAAGUCGAACGAAGCAAUCUAACGGAAGUUUUCGGAUGGAAGCUAGAUUGACUGAGUGGCGGACGGGUGAGUAACGCGUGGGUAACCUGCCUCACACUGGGGGACAACAGUUAGAAAUGACUGCUAAUACCGCAUAAGCGCACAGGACCGCAUGGUCCGGUGUGAAAAACUCCGGUGGUGUGAGAUGGACCCGCGUUUGAUUAGCUAGUUGGUGGGGUAACGGCCUACCAAGGCGACGAUCAAUAGCCGACCUGAGAGGGUGACCGGCCACAUUGGGACUGAGACACGGCCCAAACUCCUACGGGAGGCAGCAGUGGGGAAUAUUGCACAAUGGGGGAAACCCUGAUGCAGCGACGCCGCGUGGAGGAAGAAGGUCUUCGGAUUGUAAACUCCUGUUGUUGAGGAAGAUAAUGACGGUACUCAACAAGGAAGUGACGGCUAACUACGUGCCAGCAGCCGCGGUAAAACGUAGGUCACAAGCGUUGUCCGGAAUUACUGGGUGUAAAGGGAGCGCAGGCGGGAAGACAAGUUGGAAGUGAAAUCUAUGGGCUCAACCCAUAAACUGCUUUCAAAACUGUUUUUCUUGAGUAGUGCAGAGGUAGGCGGAAUUCCCGGUGUAGCGGUGGAAUGCGUAGAUAUCGGGAGGAACACCAGUGGCGAAGGCGGCCUACUGGGCACCAACUGACGCUGAGGCUCGAAAGUGUGGGUAGCAAACAGGAUUAGAUACCCUGGUAGUCCACACCGUAAACGAUGAUUACUAGGUGUUGGAGGAUUGACCCCUUCAGUGCCGCAGUUAACACAAUAAGUAAUCCACCUGGGGAGUACGACCGCAAGGUUGAAACUCAAAGGAAU
rnacentral:rRNA from 1 species